AGCGAACGCUGGCGGCAGGCCUAACACAUGCAAGUCGAACGAACCCUUCGGGGUUAGUGGUGGACGGGUGAGUAACACGUGGGAACGUGCCUUUAGGUUCGGAAUAACUCAGGGAAACUUGUGCUAAUACCGAAUGUGCCCUUCGGGGGAAAGAUUUAUCGCCUUUAGAGCGGCCCGCGUCUGAUUAGCUAGUUGGUGAGGUAAUGGCUCACCAAGGCUACGAUCAGUAGCUGGUCUGAGAGGAUGACCAGCCACAUUGGGACUGAGACACGGCCCAAACUCCUACGGGAGGCAGCAGUGGGGAAUCUUGCGCAAUGGGCGAAAGCCUGACGCAGCCAUGCCGCGUGGAUGAUGAAGGUCUUAGGAUUGUAAAAACCUUUCACCGGUGAAGAUAAUGACUGUAGCCGGAGAAGAAGCCCCGGCUAACUUCGUGCCAGCCGCCGCAGUAACAC
rnacentral:rRNA from 1 species